rnacentral:rRNA from 1 species
AUUGAACGCUGGCGGCAUGCCUUACACAUGCAAGUCGAACGGUAACAGGUCUUCGGAUGCUGACGAGUGGCGAACGGGUGAGUAAUACAUCGGAACGUGCCUAGUAGUGGGGGAUAACUACUCGAAAGAGUGGCUAAUACCGCAUGAGAUCUACGGAUGAAAGCAGGGGAUCGCAAGACCUUGUGCUACUAGAGCGGCCGAUGGCAGAUUAGGUAGUUGGUGGGAUAAAAGCUUACCAAGCCGACGAUCUGUAGCUGGUCUGAGAGGACGAUCGGGCACACUGGGACUGAGAACCGGCCCAGACUCCUACGGGAGGCAGCAGUGGGGAAUUUUGGACAAUGGGCGAAAGCCUGAUCCAGCAAUGCCGCGUGCAGGAUGAAGGCCUUCGGGUUGUAAACUGCUUUUGUACGGAACGAAAAGCCCCGGGUUAAUACCCUGGGGUCAUGACGGUACCGUAAGAAUAAGCACCGGCUAACUACGUGCCAGCCGCCGCAGUAA